UGGCUUCUCGGUUUCAUUAGCUGAUUUUGUCAUGUUUCGCAUUCCAUCAAGGACGCAUCGUAUCUUGCAUAUGUUUGAUGUUUAACCAUACAAUCUUACUGUUGUAAGGGCCGCUCUGUCCGUGGUCACCGGGAGAGUCAUCUCCCUGGUUGUGCUCUUGCCUCAAAUCGACCAGCGGAUGUUAGACACAGUUUCCUGUGUUGGAUCUGACAAGGAGGUUUGGAUUGGCUCUCCUAUCUUCUACAUCUCCAUUUAUUUUCGGAAAUUGAUAUGGGUUAUCCUUAUGUAAUGAAACAAUUUAGAUUAAACAUAAACUAAGAGAUAGAUACAGACCAAAGUUAAGUUGUUUGCUUGAGUAAAUUAGG